rnacentral:rRNA from 1 species
GAUGAACGCUGGCGGCGUGCCUAAUACAUGCAAGUCGAGCGAACAGACGAGGAGCUUGCUCCUCUGACGUUAGCGGCGGACGGGUGAGUAACACGUGGAUAACCUACCUAUAAGACUGGGAUAACUUCGGGAAACCGGAGCUAAUACCGGAUAAUAUAUUGAACCGCAUGGUUCAAUAGUGAAAGACGGUUUUGCUGUCACUUAUAGAUGGAUCCGCGCCGCAUUAGCUAGUUGGUAAGGUAACGGCUUACCAAGGCAACGAUGCGUAGCCGACCUGAGAGGGUGAUCGGCCACCCUGGAACUGAGACACGGUCCAGACUCCUACGGGGGGCAGCAGUAGGGAAUCUUCCGCAAUGGGCGAAAGCCUGACGGAGCAACGCCGCGUGAGUGAUGAAGGUCUUCGGAUCGUAAAACUCUGUUAUUAGGGAAGAACAAAUGUGUAAGUAACUAUGCACGUCUUGACGGUACCUAAUCAGAAAGCCACGGCUAACUACGUG